AAACUUGAGGAUGAGGAGCUUGUCUCCUAUAUCUUGACCGGAUUGGAUCUCGAUUAUGAUCCAGUCAUCUCGGGGUGGUGGCACAUGUCGAGCCCAUCUCAGUUAGCGAGCUGUUUACACACCUCAUUAGCCAUGAGU
rnacentral:snoRNA from 1 species